UAAAAUUGCAGACAAUGCUUCACCUGGUAUCUGUUCCACCUCUGCCAGUUCUGGGACAACCCCAGAGUUUCCAAGAGCACUAGGCAACAAGGUUACUGCAAGGUGCUGGAGGCUGUGAACUCACGGAGGACAAACCUGAGGUGCUCAGUAACUGCUUAGCGUGUGACGUGGUAUUCUGUGGGGUCCAGGUCUCAGAUCAAAGGCUAUCUCAUUUGAUUUGUCAGCCAUUUAUGCAUUGGGACUCAAGGGAACUGAGUUCUUGUCGGUGUGUCUACCAUCCAGUGCCCAGCAGCUAGCACAAUGUUGGCAUACAGAAGGAAUCCAAUAAAUAUGUGUCAAAUGAAUGGAGGAAGUAAUAGGAUUCUGUACUUGAACAUUUUGGUUAACUGUGAAACUAAUUGAAGUCUUACGGAAAUAAAAUAGUAUAUAAAUAGCAUUGCUAUUUUAAAAAGCUCUUGUAUUCUGAAUUCAUUUAAUUACUGAUGUCAAUUAUGAGAAGUGAAAUUUUAACUCAUGGAUGUAAGGGUAGACUCCCAUUGAUAGAAUUUAAUUCAAUUCAAUUAUCGUAUUAUGAUGUACUUUUGCUUAACACUGUUCAGUUUUCAAACACAGACAUGCUAACACUGGGAAUAGUGACAGAAGUAAUUCUUGAUCACUGAGAAGUGUAAGUUGGAGAGGAGAGAAGACAGAGUUGCAUUCCUGUAAAUGAUGUAGCAGAGCACUCAGAAUGCGUGGAGGGGGCCUGGCUUGUUGAGGACUGGCAAGCCAUAGUUUGGCUGUUAUGCUUUAGAAAGUUGUAAAAAAAGAACCAAGGCUGUGCCAGUGGUGGUGGGAAAUGAAUCUUGAAGGAUAAUGCAGAUUUACCUGACACUUGUAGGCUAGCAUGUAAUCCUUACAGAAACCUUUGGAUUAGCUGAUAUUGCUUCAUUUGCAAAUGGGGAAACUGAAACUCCAGGAGCUGAACCUGCCCAUAACUAGUGGGCAGCUUCUCUAGGAUUCUAAUCUAAGUCUUCUUGAUUCCGCAGUCUCUGCUUUCCCAACUACUCUGUGCCAACUCAGAAAGCCUGGGAUUUGUGGAAUGUCUAAUAAGAGUUAAUGAACUUUCAGGAAUAUUUGGGCCAGCAUUGGAAUUAGAAUAGAGAAUGUGGCCCAUCCUAUGGAGACAAGUCAGGGCAUUGAAUUUGAUGAAUUCUAUUUCAUCUGAAGCAUUGGAAGUAGACUGGUGUAUCUCACAGAUGACACUGGGGAGAAAUUGUGGGUUUGGAUAUAGUAACAAAGAAAACAGUGGCUGACUUUAUUUUUGGGGGCUCCAAAAUCACUGCAGAUGGUGAUUGCAGCCAUGAAAUUAAAAGAUGCUUACUCCUUGGAAGGA